UUAUUUCAGUACAAAUAUACUUCUACAGUUAAACGUUAACUAGGGAACUGUGGUUCCACCGUCAAUUUUUUAUUUAAGAGAUUAUUAAUUUCUCCCAAAGUAUAUUUGUUACUAAAUAUAGAAACUAAAAAGUGUUCAAAGGUUUUAGUAUCAAAAUGGAUUGUGCACCUUGUAAUUCGGUAGAUAUUGACAGACUUUUCAGAGUUGCUUACUGCUUCAGGGUCUUUGCUCUUAUGUGAAAAUAGCUGAUAACCUCUUUGAUACAUGUGUAAAGUAUCGUCAAUACAUGAAUCAGAUCAUAUAUUUAUAAUAAUUAUACCUCACGCCAGCUCAGUUGCAUCUAUAAAUACCACCUGUUUUUAACACUGACUAAUUCUCCAGUUUUUAUGUCUUUCGCAUGAUUCUUAAAACACAAAGAAUACUUCCCUGAACAGUAUUAACCAAAUUAUCGCUUUAACGGCAAAGUGUUGUUUUCUUUGCGUUAAGGACUGAAUUAUGAAUAUUUAAAAAUUUAAAUCGAACUGUCAAUCUAACCUAACCUCCUAAAUAAAUAAUAUUUAUUGGAGAAAAAUAAGAUAAAAAUAUAGAAAAUAUAAAACCCAGAUCUACUCCAGGGCCAACAGUAUCUUAUCCAAUAUGUAGACUGGUUGUUUCGUCGGGGGUUAAGCUAACCUCUGACCUGUAUCUGGUGCCGAGAAAAAGGAAUUCGUAGUUAUACACCCACUGUCACACUUAUCUGCACGACGUUGCUUAAUACAGAACCUGGGACUUUGUAGAGUCGAAAGUAACUCCCCCUCCACUUCCCCUCAAUGUAAGGUAAACACCCAUAAAGGAAAGCAACGUAAGUUAACCUCAACAUCAUAAAGCGCAUCACAAACAAAGUCUAAACAUCCUACUACUAAUAAAAUUAACAGAAGUACAGUUCGGUUUGUCAGCAAAGAUUACAAAAGCACGUCAAGAUACCAAGGCUUACCUGUUUCAGCCACGUGCUUCUUUUGAAGUAAAACUACACACAGAUAUAACAAACAUUACACUUUUGCAAAGAGAACAAGUACUAUACCCCCACUCGGAAAGAAACAAUUGAACUGCAACUUCCGCAAUAUGGAAGGAGAGGGAGGGGGAUUACGAAUCAGGGUAACACUAUGAGCAAUUGGAUGUUGAAACCUGAAAGACAGUAUCAUUACAGAUAUAUGUAUAUAUAUAUCA